rnacentral:rRNA from 1 species
GAUGAACGCUAGCUACAGGCUUAACACAUGCAAGUCGAGGGGCAGCAUGAAGUUUGCUUGCAAACUUUGAUGGCGACCGGCGCACGGGUGAGUAACGCGUAUCCAACCCUUCCCCCUGGUAGGGCAUAGCCUGGCGAAAGUCGGAUUAAUACCCUAUGUUUUCCUUUGACGGCAUCCGACGAGGAACAAAGAUUUAUCGCCCGGGGAUGGGGAUGCGUCCGAUUAGGCAGACGGCGGGGCAACGGCCCACCGUACCUUCGAUCGGUAGGGGUUCUGAGAGGAAGGUCCCCCACAUUGGAACUGAGACACGGUCCAAACUCC